GACGAACGCUGGCGGCGUGCUUAACACAUGCAAGUCGAACGGAAAGGCUCCAGCUUGCUGGAGUACUCGAGUGGCGAACGGGUGAGUAACACGUGGGUAAUCUGCCCUGCACUCUGGGAUAAGCCUGGGAAACUGGGUCUAAUACUGGAUAUGACCUUUCUCCUCAUGGGGUUUGGUGGAAAGUUUUUCGGUGUAGGAUGAGCCCGCGGCCUAUCAGCUUGUUGGUGGGGUGAUGGCCUACCAAGGCGACGACGGGUAGCCGGCCUGAGAGGGUGAUCGGCCACAUUGGGACUGAGAUACGGCCCAGACUCCUACGGGAGGCAGCAGUGGGGAAUAUUGCACAAUGGGCGGAAGCCUGAUGCAGCGACGCCGCGUGAGGGAUGACGGCCUUCGAGUUGUAAACCUCUUUCAGCAGGGACGAAGCGUAAGUGACGGUACCUGCAGAAGAAGCACCGGCUAACUAUGUG
rnacentral:rRNA from 1 species